rnacentral:rRNA from 1 species
AGGGCGUACGGUGGAUGCCUAGGCACUUGGAACUGAAGAAGGACGCAGCAAACAGCGAAAUGCUGCGGGGAGCGGUACGCACGCAAAGAUCCGCAGAUAUCCGAAUGGGGAAACCCGUCAUCUGUAAUAGGAUGACACCCAUGAGCGAAUACAUAACUCAUGAGGGAGGUACCCGGGGAACUGAAACAUCUAAGUACCCGGAGGAAAAGAAAAUAAAGAAUGAUUCCGUAAGUAGCGGCGAGCGAAAGCGGAGGAGCCCAAACCAGUUCUCGAACUGGGGUUGUAGGACCACGACAAGACAAGAACGACGAUAGGAGAACAGCAUUGAAAGGCUGACCGAAGAGGGUGCAAGUCCCGUAACCGAAAUCGUAGUGAAGUCUAGUGGGAUCCUGAGUACGGCGAGACACGAGAAAUCUUGUCGGAAGCAGGCGGGACCAUCCGUCAAGGCUAAAUAUACCCAAGUGACCGAUAGUGAACCAGUACCGUGAGGGAAAGGUGAAAAGAACCGCGGGAGCGGAGUGAAAGAGAACCUGAAACCGUAUGCCUACAAGAAGUCAGAGCCCGUUAAAGGGUGAUGGCGUGCCUUUUGUAGAAUGAACCGGCGAGUUACGUUAUCGUGCGAGGUUAAGUAGAAGAUACGGAGCCGAAGCGAAAGCGAGUCUUAAUAGGGCGGCAGUACGAUGACGUAGACCCGAAACCGUGUGAUCUAGCCAUGACCAGGUUGAAGUUCAGGUGAAACUGAAUGGAGGACCGAACCGACCCCCGUUGAAAAGUUGGCGGAUGAGUUGUGGCUAGGGGAGAAAUUCCAAUCGAACACGGAUAUAGCUGGUUCUCCCCGAAAUAGCUUUAGGGCUAGCGUCGAGGAAGAGUAUAUUGGAGGUAGAGCACUGAAUGUACGAUGGCCCCAUCCCGGGGUACUGAGUAUAAUCAAACUCCGAAUGCCAAUAUAUAUACUCGGCAGUCAGACUGUGGGUGAUAAGGUCCAUGGUCAAAAGGGAAACAGCCCAGACCGCCAGUUAAGGUCCCAAAAUGUAUGCUAAGUGGAAAAGGAUGUGGGGAUGCACAGACAACUAGGAGGUUGGCUCAGAAGCAGCCACCCUUCAAAGAGUGCGUAACAGCUCACUAGUCGAGUGACCCUGCGCCGAAAAUGUACCGGGGCUAAGCAUACUACCGAAGCUGCGGAUUUGUAGUAAUACAAGUGGUAGGGGAGCGUUCCAUACUGCGUAGAAGUCAGAUCGUAAGGACUGAUGGAGUGUAUGGAAGUGAGAAUGCCGGUGUGAGUAGCGAGAUGUAGGUGAGAAUCCUACACACCGAUAGCCCAAGGGUUCCAGGGGAAGGUUCGUCCGCCCUGGGUAAGUCGGGACCUAACGCGAGGCCGAAAGGCGUAGUGGAUGGAAAACAGGCAGAUAUUCCUGUACCCGCGAUGGAAGUGAAGGAAUGACGGAGAAGGCUAGUGUGACCCACUGAAUGGAUUGUGGGCGAAGCGAAUAGCAGGACGGCAGUGAAAUGCGUCGUCGAAAUGUAAAACGUGACAGGUAAGGGAACGUCUACGGACAAGUACCGAAGCACAUGAGGCCAGCUUCCAGGAAAAGUUUCUAGCAUUAAUUCCAUAGCGGCCCGUACCAAAACCGACACAGGUGGGCAAGGAGAGGAUCCUGAGGUGAGCGAGAGAACUGUUGCCAAGGAACUCGGCAAAAUGACUCCGUAAGUUAGCGAUAAGGAGUGCUCUUGUAAAAGAGAGCCGCAGUGAAGAGGCCCAAGCGACUGUUUAACUAAAACACAGCUCUCUGCAAAGUCGCAAGACGAAGUAUAGGGGGUGACGCCUGCCCGGUGCUGGAAGGUUAAAAGGAUCUGUGAAUCGCAAGAGGAAGCAGUGAACUGAAGCCCCAGUGAACGGCGGCCGUAACUAUAACGGUCCUAAGGUAGCGAAAUUCCUUGUCAGGUAAGUUCUGACCCGCACGAAAGGCGUAACGAUUUGGGCGCUGUCUCGGCAGCAGACUCGGUGAAAUCUUAGUACCUGUGAAAAUGCAGGUUACCCGCAACUAGACGGAAAGACCCCAUGGAGCUUUACUGUAGCCUGAUAUUGAGUUUUGAUCAAAGAUGUACAGGAUAGGUGGGAGGCGAAGAGACGUGUACGCCAGUAUACGAGGAGCCGCUGUUGGGAUACCACUCUUGUUUGAUUGAAAUUCUAACCUGCAUCCAUGAACUGGAUGAGGGACCGUGUCAGGUGGGCAGUUUGACUGGGGCGGUCGCCUCCUAAAGAGUAACGGAGGCGCCCAAAGGU